AUGUGCGCAAGUUUUGGUGCCUAAAUCCCGGGAAUGCCGGGUGUCCUUUUGCGCGGAUCGGGUGGUGGCGGCUGGGUCCUGCUCAACGGGAUGCCGCUGAACCCGGUCAGGUCUUGACGGAAGCAGCCGUAGGUGGAUUUUUUCGUGUGCUGCAGGGUCGCCUGGCCGUCACCACGCGCUUCGCGCGGACGUGCAA
rnacentral:SRP_RNA from 1 species